rnacentral:tRNA from 1 species
UUCCUGGAGGACUAGUGGUUGGGCUACAGUGCUCUCGCCACUGUGGCCCGGGUUCAAUUCCCAGCCAGGGAA